AACAGAGAAGUGCUUUAGCAAGUAAAGAACCCGGUGACAGGUGCUGCAUGGCUGUCGUCAGCUCGUGUCGUGAGAUGUUCGGGUUAAGUCCCGCAACGAGCCGCAACCCUCGCCUUUAGUUGCCAGCAUUCAGUUGGGCACUCUAGAGGGACUGCCGGUGUCAACCGGAGGAAGUGGGAUGACGUCAAGUCCUCAUGGCCUUUAUGACCAGGGCUACACACGUACUACAAUGGCAGGUACAAAGGGCAGCCACUUAGCGAUAAGGCGCGAAUCCCGUAAAACCUGUCUCAGUCCGGAUUGGAGUCUGCAACUCGACUCCAUGAAGUUGGAAUCGCUAGUAAUCGCAGAUCAGCACGCUGCGGUGAAUACGUUCCCGGGCCUU
rnacentral:rRNA from 1 species